CCUACGGGAGGCAGCAGUGGGGAAUCUUGCGCAAUGGGCGAAAGCCUGACGCAGCAACGCCGCGUGGGGGAUGAAGGCUCUCGGGUUGUAAACCCCUUUCAGCAGGGACGAAUUAAGACGGUACCUGCAGAAGAAGCCCCGGCUAACUACGUGCCAGCAGCCGCGGUAACACGUAGGGGGCAAGCGUUGUCCGGAUUUAUUGGGCGUAAAGAGCUCGUAGGUGGCUGAGUAAGUCGGAUGUUAAAUCCCCAGGCUCAACCUGGGACACCACCCGAUACUGCUCUGGCUAGAGUCCGGUAGGGGAGCGUGGAAUUCCUGGUGUAGCGGUGAAAUGCGCAGAUAUCAGGAGGAACACCAGCGGCGAAGGCGGCGCUCUGGGCCGGUACUGACACUGAGGAGCGAAAGCGUGGGUAGCAAACAGGAUUAGAUACCCUGGUAGUCCACGCCGUAAACGUUGGGCACUAGGUGUGGGGUCUAUUCAACGGACUCCGUGCCGUAGCUAACGCAUUAAGUGCCCCGCCUGGGGAGUACGGCCGCAAGGCUAAAACUCAAAUGAAUUGACGGCUGAGACGNGCGAGCGACACGAGGAGAG
rnacentral:rRNA from 1 species